rnacentral:misc_RNA from 1 species
GAAAUAAAAUACGAAUCAAAGUCUGUACGCUCUAGCGACUGCGUUAAGAUACAUUUAUCAGAGGUUGAACAGUGUUCAACGAAUCCCACGAGAUUCUCGAAUACAUACAAGCUCACUCGUGUGAAAGGUAGAUAGUACGUAUUUGAGUUGGGAGUGUGGAAUUCGAUAAAUGUGGCUGAUAAAUAGAUCUCGACAUUAUCAGUCGAUUUGAGACGGACCAUGCGCAGCUAAAGUAAAAGCGAUGUUAAUAUUUUAUAUUUUAACCGUUAAAUGGUAACGUUGGAACGAGCGGUGCGAUGCGAUAUUUAUGAACGAAAGUCGCUAAAUCCGCAAAAUCCAUCUCACAGACUUGAAGUCUCACGGCGCGCACGGGUCGUGAGGAGAAAUUUUCUCGAUUUUUGCAAGAAAAAUAAUUGAAGCGACGAAACUCGCGCGAGAUCAUUCGAAGCGAGAUUUAAAGUCCGAAACCGAGGCGGGAUCGGAAUUAGCAUAUUUGAUCCCGGGUUCAUUUCAGGUGGGGGGGAGUACUUUGCCUUCGCGCCUCGUGCAUUUAAUUCGCGCGUCCUUUGGCCGUGCAUCCGGUGUGACCGACGUCAAUGCGAAGGGGGAAGCGCGAUGACCUCAUUGAUUAAAAAUCAAGGUGAACGAUUCUCCCGGUCACAGCUGUGCUGCACUUUUGCGACCGGCGGCGGCGGUUUUCGCUGGAGAAAACCUCUGUCUCACAUCCCAGCGAGAGAGAAAGAGAAGAGAAGAACGAGCCCGUUUUCUCUGGCCGACAGCUCCGAACUCCGAGCUGGCGCGAGCGAGAAGGGCAGGCAGGCAUCGACUCGCGGGGUAAUCGAAGGCAAAUUGAUUAUUCCGCCGUGAAACUUAAUUUGCCAGUCACUAAGCUUAUCCGGAGUUUCCGCGACGAUGAGCUCUUUCCGCACCCGGAAGCGAGACGCGCGCGCGCGCGUGCGGGGCUUCGCGCGCGCGCGAUCGAUUAAUCGGAUAUGCGAGAGCGGCCCGCGUAAGAAAUCACCGCUGGAUUUUUCAGAGCCGCGUGUGUGUGUGUGUGUGUGUGUGUGUGUGUUUGUAUCAUCAUCACAGCAGCGGCGAUAAGCCAUGAGCCGCCCCCAUCGCCCACAUGGCACAUCCCGAUGAGACUUACGCCGUGGACUUAAACGCGUAAACGCGGCAGCGCGUCUAGUGGCUCGGCUUGGCGCGCAUCGUUCGAGCUGCAUCGUUCGGCCGGGCACUCGCUGCUCUCGCUGCGCGAGCGUGAUUUCGCGAACGUGACUCUCGUUAAUCUUCCGCGAUCGUCAGUUGGCCGUGAACCGGCGUCGUUUGCGUUGCGUUUAAUCCCCCACGACGCGGGCCGGCCGUUCGGUUGUGCGGCAAACGCGGCGAUCGCGCACGUACGUAAUGAGCUCGUAAUCCUCGACGGAGGAUAACACUUCUCGCUGAUAAUCGUUGGCCGUCGUCGGCCGAUCGAGUCGGAUCGGUCGCUUCGUUUGCUGGAAUUUCUCAUAUUUCUUCGUCUUCAAAUUCAGCUGAGCCGGCCGGCCGGCAGCAUGAAAAUCUUUCGCAAGCUCUUCAGGAGCAAGAAGAAGAAGAGGCGCACCGUCAGCAAGAGGUCGCGGAAGACUACGUCGAAGAAGAGGGCCUCGAGCAGGACGUACGACGCGCACCUGCUGAAGGAUGACUUCCUCUUCGGCACCGGUGGCAGCAGCAGCUCGAAGCGGUAUCGGCGUAAACAUAAGGCUGGCGACAGAGGCUGGGAGAUCCACCAUGUUACGGUCACCAGGGUGCCCGGUUACGGUUUCGGUAUAGCCGUGUCAGGAGGCCGCGAUAAUCCACACUUCACCAAUGGGGAUCCAGCGAUCGCGAUCUCCGACGUGCUGAAAGCUGGCCCGGCCGAGGGAAAAUUGCAAGUGAACGACCGUAUCAUAUCCGCUAACGGAGUGUCACUGGAGGGCGCGGAUUACGGGGCUGCCGUGCGGGUCCUGAGGGAUUCCGGUUCCACCGUUUUAUUGGUUGUUAAACGAAGAGCUUCCUCGAAUUCGCCGGGCUGCUUGGGCAGCGCGGGUCCUCAGAGUCACCGGCUCACUCUCACGCGAAACAAUAAAAAGGACGACUUCGGCAUAGUGCUGGGAUGUCGAUUGUACGUAAAGGAGGUUACGCGAGAAAAUAUCGGAGUGAAAACCGGGGACGUGCUAACCCGAAUAGGCAGCGUCGCCGCCGACAAUAUGAGUCUGAAGGAAGCUAGAAAGCUGAUGGACCAGUGCAAAGACAGACUCUCGAUAGUAAUUACGCGGGACAGCUCCUGUUGCCACGCACAGCAGCAAGGUAAAGGGGAUAGCGGUGAAUACCUGUCGGGCGCGAGUUACAGUAGUCAGAACUUAUACGUUCCGCCACCUACGAGGCAGCCCUUGGAGGACAAGAGUAACCUCGUGCCGAGAGGUCGUUCCCGGGGUCCGCUGAUGGACGUCUCUCUGAGCCAACUGGAUCUACCGGCUACACCCACAGUGGAUCCACCCAGGCCACCUCCGCCCAGGCCGGAAGAUUAUUAUAGCACGCGCAGGCAACUGUACGACGAAGAUUCGGUUUCGCCUCGGUCGAAGCAGCCGAUGCCGGAUCCUCGAUUCAUUACCUUCCAAAAGGAAGGAUCCGUAGGAGUGCGAUUAAGCGGUGGCAACGAGACCGGGGUCUUCGUGACUGCAGUUCAAUCGGGAAGUCCCGCGUCGCUUCAGGGUCUUCAGCCAGGAGAUAAGAUUUUAAAGAUAAAUGACAUGGACAUGAAAGGAGUCACGAGGGAAGAAGCUGUGCUUUUUCUCCUCAGCUUGCAAGAACAGAUCGAUCUCAUCGUGCAGCAUCGUCGUCAGGAGUACGAUCAGAUCGUCGCAUCCGGCAGAGGCGACUCCUUCCACAUAAAAACUCACUUCCACUACGAGCAACCGCAGAAAGGCGAGAUGAGCUUCCGCAGCGGGGACGUCUUCCACGUGGUGGACACUCUUCACAACGGCGUCGUGGGAUCUUGGCAGGUCUUCCGGAUCGGACGAAACAAUCAAGAGGUGCAGAAGGGCAUCAUACCCAACAAGGCUCGGGCUGAAGAGCUGGCGACUGCGCAAUUUAACGCGACGAAGAAGGAGAUGAGCGCCAGUGAAAGCAGAGGUAGCUUUUUCAGAAGAAGAAGAAACAGCCACAGGCGGUCAAAGUCUCUGGGAAGGGAUCACUGGGACGAUGUGGUGUUCUCCGACAGCGUCAGCAAAUUCCCAGCUUAUGAGCGCGUGAUCCUGAGACAUCCUGGAUUCGUUAGACCCGUCGUUCUCUUCGGGCCCGUAGCUGAUCUCGCCAGGGAGAAGCUUCUCAAGGAUUUUCCCGAUAAAUUCACCUCUCCGCAGAUGGAAAGCCAAAUGGAGGAUGGCUCGGGCAAGAACACCAAAACCUCCGGCAUCAUUCGCUUGAGCGCCAUCAGAGAGGUGAUGGAUCGAGGGAAACACGCUUUGCUAGAUAUUACUCCCAACGCCGUGGACCGAUUAAAUUACGCCCAGUUUUACCCUAUUGUCAUUUUCCUGAAGGCUGAGACGAAGCAGGUCAUCAAAGAGAUGAGGGCUGGCAUACCGAAAUCGGCGCAUAAAAGCAGCAAGAAGCUCUUAGAGCAGUGCCAAAAACUCGACAAGAUCUGGGGACACGUAUUUAGCGCGGUGAUUACGCUCAAUGCGCCCGAAGCUUGGUACCGGAAGCUCCGAGAGCUCAUCGAUCGCCAGCAACAAGGCUCACUUUGGAUGAGUCAGACCAAGCCGGAAGAAGCCCUCUCGGAUGAUUUCCUAUUCCCGAUGACUUCUCGCCUCUCCUACGCUUCCUCCCCGGAGAGUGACCUGGAGCUGAGUCCGGCACCCGUUAUUCCCGGUACAUUAGGCCCACCGUCGCGGCUCAAAAGCAGCUCAGAUCCUAGUAUUGCCACUCAAGAUGACACAUCCGCACCACCGCCGUACUCCACGAAUUAUCAGCAAUCGUUCGAUCAGCAAAAGAGAAGGUCCCAAGGCGGAGUGGGAGAUAGCAAAUACGGCUUCUCCCUGUCCGGGCAAAUGAGCAAUCAGUCUGGCUCGCCGGAAUAUUUGGGCGGCUCCUUCGAGCCUAGAUCUCCUCAUCAUAGCCCUCCGGACCUUCCGCCGCGAGUCGACCGGAACGUGAAGCCGACUAACCAAACGCCGCGGGGUACGAUCGGACGAUCCGCUCAGGAACGUCUAGUGAACAAAACCGAGUCGAUCUUGGACAUGGGAAAUUACAUCAAUGCAACCCCGCACAAAGCGAACGCCACGUCAUCCCUCGAAAGGGCGCAGCCGAAGGCGGGAAGUUACGACAGCAUGUCCUCCUACGAUUCGUACAACAAUACGAAUGGGAACGCGAGCUACGGCGCGCCGAAUCUCAACACGUCGACGGGUCGCUUGGGCCCGAACGUACCUGAUGAUCUCAAGAGCAGCAGCAUGCCGGUGAGAGCGCACGAUCCGUACCGAUUCACCAGGUCUACGGCUCAGCCGAUUCCCAUGCACGAUGCUCAAACGCGGACUGAUUACGCCAAGUACAGCCGAUCCACCGAUUACAAGUCGAUACCGAUCCCGCAAAAUAAGCCGGCAGGCACCUACAAGCCGAUCCCGCCGCCCAAGCCGAAAAAUUACAGACCACCCCAGACAUCGCUCGCGCAGACGGAGAACAACGGCAACGACGGAGGUAAUUCGUACCAGCACUCGAAGAGCUAUUCCAUCGCCACGUCUCACGUGCACAAUGGGGUAGAAAGCAGCAGCAGCAACGUUCAGCGCAACAGCGGCCAGUAUUACUACAACAUUCCGCCGCCCGGCCGUCACAAUGAGAGCAAUCUCAUGAAUUCACACCACAAUCUAAGUCACCUGGCGCCGCCGACGCACAGUCACAGCCUCAGCCACACGCACUCGCACUCCAGCCCGCCGGUCACCACCACGCAUUCCCACAGCAACAGCGCCGGUCAGAUCAACCUCGGUCUGACGCACAAUCGCGGCGGCACGAACCACAAUGGGUACAUGCACGGCAACAAUCACGGACCGGCCGGUCUAAUCUAUCCCUCCGCCAAUCCCGGGCACAACAGGGAACCCAGCGGCCUGGACCUGGCUGGCAGUCGGGAGCAAAGAGGCAGCGCUUUCGAGCUCUAUCGAAAGCCGGUUCAUAAUUACAAUAUAAGUUAACGUGUAUCCUGGCGCAAGACUUGUUAUUACUAGGACGAAUUAAUCAAUUUUCCGGAGCACGGCAAAGUAAAUCGUGCAAUGUCGUAGAUUAAAAUUAAUCGCCGGUCACGAUGACGAUAUUAUGACGAGAUGCAUCUUUCGAUUCUCAGCUACGUGGAGCUUCUGAAAGUUUUAAGAUACGUUGAGCGGAUUUGGUUUAUAUCGCGACGGGAAUCUGGGAAUUUUGUUAUCGGAACAACCAUUAGAGCGGUGUAUUGAAGACUGUCAUUCGCGAUUAAAUAUCAAUACGAUCGAACUGGUUUUCUUCGUAUGUAUACAUGAUAUAUGUUGCUAUGUGCAAUGUCGCGUAACAAUAUUUUGUUGACUAUAUACGAGAUAGAGUCUCGCUUUGCAACAAUGCUGCGUCAUCAUUGUAAGUUAUAUUUUCUUUGAUAAUUUUACAGAAACUAACAGAUCGAAGAUUGCAAAUCUUAGAAGGUACAUGUGAUUUGGGGACGAUAAUUUCCUCGAAUGAUUCUCUUUUUCUCCUUUUGGAAAGGCAUGCCCUUUCUAGAGCCGAGGUCAGGCUUUAUAGUUAUUUAUUAUACCUUACUGUUAGAUCGUACUGCGCAUCAUUAUUAUUAUAAACCAAAUGACUAUUGAUAUGAGGUACGAGGUAUGAUAUGAGGUAUCGUCAGCGUUAAGUCGGAGUUUCAUAAGAGCUAAUGUUAAUUAUAAUAAUGCACGUCUCUCUCAUAACUAUUAGAUUUUGCCAUUAAACAUGCUGAUAAUCUUAUAUCACCAGUUAAAGCGUAAACAGAUUAUACUACUGUUAACGAAGUGCGAAUGAGAUUAUGUUAUAUUACGUAACUGAUAUUGUGCGAAUGUCGAACGUAACUAAUAGUAAAAAGCAAAAUUUAUUAACGCGUACACAAGUAUUAAAUUUAAAUUUAAAUAUACGCGAAAUAGAGUCUAUUUCGCGCGUUAUCCUAGCGAGAUCUGUUAUAUCAAGUUGUCAUAUGAUAAUUUAGGGUAACAAGGUAGCAAAGCGAAUUAGAAAAAUAUCCAGGUUCGGAUGUUAAUUUUUCUGGUAUUUAAUAAUUUUUUAUAAAUGAAUGAAUGAGACGAGCGACAAAGGUGAUGAACGAUCGAAUAAAAACAAUGUGUAUGCGUA